rnacentral:rRNA from 1 species
ACAAGCAGUGGGAGCACGCUUAGGCGUGUGACUGCGUACCUUUUGUAUAAUGGGUCAGCGACUUAUAUUCUGUAGCAAGGUUAACCGAAUAGGGGAGCCGAAGGGAAACCGAGUCUUAACUGGGCGUUAAGUUGCAGGGUAUAGACCCGAAACCCGGUGAUCUAGCCAUGGGCAGGUUGAAGGUUGGGUAACACUAACUGGAGGACCGAACCGACUAAUGUUGAAAAAUUAGCGGAUGACUUGUGGCUGGGGGUGAAAGGCCAAUCAAACCGGGAGAUAGCUGGUUCUCCCCGAAAGCUAUUUAGGUAGCGCCUCGUGAAUUCAUCUCCGGGGGUAGAGCACUGUUUCGGCAAGGGGGUCAUCCCGACUUACCAACCCGAUGCAAACUGCGAAUACCGGAGAAUGUUAUCACGGGAGACACACGGCGGGUGCUAACGUCCGUCGUGAAGAGGGAAACAACCCAGACCGCCAGCUAAGGUCCCAAAGUCAUGGUUAAGUGGGAAACGAUGUGGGAAGGCCCAGACAGCCAGGAUGUUGGCUUAGAAGCAGCCAUCAUUUAAAGAAAGCGUAAUAGCUCACUGGUCGAGUCGGCCUGCGCGGAAGAUGUAACGGGGCUAAACCAUGCACCGAAGCUGCGGCAGCGACGCUUAUGCGUUGUUGGGUAGGGGAGCGUUCUGUAAGCCUGCGAAGGUGUGCUGUGAGGCAUGCUGGAGGUAUCAGAAGUGCGAAUGCUGACAUAAGUAACGAUAAAGCGGGUGAAAAGCCCGCUCGCCGGAAGACCAAGGGUUCCUGUCCAACGUUAAUCGGGGCAGGGUGAGUCGACCCCUAAGGCGAGGCCGAAAGGCGUAGUCGAUGGGAAACAGGUUAAUAUUCCUGUACUUGGUGUUACUGCGAAGGGGGGACGGAGAAGGCUAUGUUGGCCGGGCGACGGUUGUCCCGGUUUAAGCGUGUAGGCUGGUUUUCCAGGCAAAUCCGGAAAAUCAAGGCUGAGGCGUGAUGACGAGGCACUACGGUGCUGAAGCAACAAAUGCCCUGCUUCCAGGAAAAGCCUCUAAGCAUCAGGUAACAUCAAAUCGUACCCCAAACCGACACAGGUGGUCAGGUAGAGAAUACCAAGGCGCUUGAGAGAACUCGGGUGAAGGAACUAGGCAAAAUGGUGCCGUAACUUCGGGAGAAGGCACGCUGAUAUGUAGGUGAAGUCCCUCGCGGAUGGAGCUGAAAUCAGUCGAAGAUACCAGCUGGCUGCAACUGUUUAUUAAAAACACAGCACUGUGCAAACACGAAAGUGGACGUAUACGGUGUGACGCCUGCCCGGUGC